rnacentral:rRNA from 1 species
GAUCCAAUUGAACCGCAGGCUUCACCCCUCGUGGUGCUCCCCCGCCAAUUCCUUUAAGUUUCAUACUUGCGUACGUACUUCCCAGGCGGCAGACUUAACGGCUUCCCUGCGGCACUGCAUUGGCCACAAGCCAAUGCAUCACCGAGUCUGCAUCGUUUACAGCUGGGACUACCCGGGUAUCUAAUCCGGUUUGCUCCCCCAGCUUUCAUCCCUCACCGUCGAACGUGUUCUGGUACACCGCCUUCGCCACAGGUGGUCUUCAAUAGAUCAAAGGAUUUUACCCCUUCCUAUCGAGUACCGUGUACCUCUCCCACUCCCUAGCUGCACAGUAUUUUCGGCGGCCUAUACGUUAAGCGCAUAGAUUUAACCGAAAACUUAUGCAACCGGCUACGGAUGCUUUAGGCCCAAUAAACCUCCUGACCACUCGAGGUGCUGGUUUUACCGCGGCGGCUGACACCAGAACUUGCCCACCCCUUAUUCACCAGUGAUUCUACAACUGACAAAAGACUCCUUUAGCAGGAGACACUCGGAUUAACCUUGUCGUGCUUUCGCACAUUGCAAAGGUUUCU